GGUAGGAUAGAGGCCUACCAUGGUGGUAACGGGUAACGGGGUGUUAGGGCACGACACCGGAGAGGGAGCCUGAGAAACGGCUACCACAUCCAAGGAUGGCAGCAGGCGCGCAAAUUACCCAAUCCCGACACGGGGAGGUAGUGACAAUAAAUAACAAUACGGGGUUCUUUCGGAUUUCGUAAUUGGAAUGAGUACAAUUUAAAUCUCUUAACGAGGAACAAUUGGAGGGCAAGUCUGGUGCCAGCAGCCGCGGUAAUUCCAGCUCCAAUAGCGUAUAUUAAAGUUGUUGCAGUUAAAAAGCUCGUAGUUGAAUUUCGGGGUCAGUAGAUUGGUCGUGCCACUGGUAUGUACUGGUCUUACUGGUUCCUCCUUCCUGAUGAACCGUAAUGCCAUUAAUUUGGUGUUGCGGGGAGACUGGACUGUUACUUUGAAAAAAUUAGAGUGUUUAAAGCAGGCUAACGCUUGAAUACAUUAGCAUGGAAUAAUGAAAUAGGACGUUCGAUCUUAUUUUGUUGGUUUCUAGGAUUGACGUAAUGAUUAAUAGGGAUAGUUGGGGGCAUUAGUAUUCAAUUGUCAGAGGUGAAAUUCUUGGAUUUAUUGAAGACUAACUACUGCGAAAGCAUUUGCCAAGGAUGUUUUCAUUAAUCAAGAACGAAAGUUAGGGGAUCGAAGACGAUCAGAUACCGUCGUAGUCUUAACCAUAAACUAUGCCGACUAGGGAUCGGAUGAUGU
rnacentral:rRNA from 1 species